AGAGUUUGAUCCUGGCUCAGAACGAACGCUGGCGGCAGGCUUAAUACAUGCAAGUCGAACGGGCGUAACAAUACGUCAGUGGCAGACGGGUGAGUAACGCGUGGGAACAUACCCCUCGGUUCGGAAUAGCUCAGGGAAACUUGGAUUAAUACCGAAUACGGCCGAGAGGCGAAAGAUUUAUCGCCGAGGGAUUGGCCCGC
rnacentral:rRNA from 1 species